UGGGGGAUAUUGCACAAUGGGGGGAACCCUGAUGCAGCGACGCCGCGUGGGUGAAGAAGCGCCUCGGCGCAUAAAGCCCUGUCAGCAGGGAAGAAAAUGACGGUACCUGAAGAAGAAGCCCCGGCUAACUACGUGCC
rnacentral:rRNA from 1 species